UGAGGCAGGAGAAUUGCUUGAACCCUGGAAGUGGAGGUGGCAGUGAGCUGAGAUUGCAGCACUGUACUCCAGCCUGGGUGACACAGCAAGACUCCAUCUC
rnacentral:miRNA from 1 species